UGAACGCUGGCGGCGUGCCUACUACAUGCAAGUCGAGCGAACAGACGAGGAGCUUGCUCCUCUGACGUUAGCGGCGGACGGGUGAGUAACACGUGGAUAACCUACCUAUAAGACUGGGAUAACUUCGGGAAACCGGAGCUAAUACCGGAUAAUAUAUUGAACCGCAUGGUUCAAUAGUGAAAGACGGUUUUGCUGUCACUUAUAGAUGGAUCCGCGCCGCAUUAGCUAGUUGGUAAGGUAACGGCUUACCAAGGCAACGAUGCGUAGCCGACCUGAGAGGGUGAUCGGCCACACUGGAACUGAGACACGGUCCAGACUCCUACGGGAGGCAGCAGUAGGGAAUCUUCCGCAAUGGGCGAAAGCCUGACGGAGCAACGCCGCGUGAGUGAUGAAGGUCUUCGGAUCGUAAAACUCUGUUAUUAGGGAAGAACAAAUGUGUAAGUAACAAUGCACGUCUUGACGGUACCUAAUCAGAAAGCCACGGCUAACUACGUG
rnacentral:rRNA from 1 species